rnacentral:rRNA from 1 species
GAUGAACGCUGGCGGCGUGCCUAAUACAUGCAAGUCGAGCGAACGGAUGAGAAGCUUGCUUCUCUGAUGUUAGCGGCGGACGGGUGAGUAACACGUGGAUAACCUACCUAUAAGACUGGGAUAACUUCGGGAAACCGGAGCUAAUACCGGAUAAUAUUUUGAACCGCAUGGUUCAAAAGUGAAAGACGGUCUUGCUGUCACUUAUAGAUGGAUCCGCGCUGCAUUAGCUAGUUGGUAAGGUAACGGCUUACCAAGGCAACGAUGCAUAGCCGACCUGAGAGAGUGAUCGGCCACACUGGAACUGAGACACGGUCCAGACUCCUACGGGAGGCAGCAGUAGGGAAUCGUCCGCAAAGGGCGAAAGCCUGACGGAGCAACGCCGCGUGAGUGAUGAAGGUCUUCGGAUCGUAAAACUCUGUUAUUAGGGAAGAACAUAUGUGUAAGUAACUGUGCACAUCUUGACGGUACCUAAUCAGAAAGCCACGGCUAACUACGUG